AUUAGACUGUGGCUAUCACUAAGACCCUAUUAAAGAUAGAGGUAGAUAAGCCUUGGGGAAAAUGUGAGACAACCACCACCCUACCCUGUUGUCUGAGAACAGGGAGAGGUGGAAGGAGGAGGUUUCCCUUUGCAAAGAAUUUAUAAUCACUGAGGAAGAGAACAGUUUGCUUUACAGUGAUCAACACCGUGACACUGUCUUCUGCAAAACCAACCAGCCAUCCUCCCAAAAGCAAAAGCUUCAUUUACAGAGAAACCAAUAAAUGUUCAUGGGAGAUGACUGCAUGAAGAAAAUGUAUUUGCAGUGAUUAUACAAGGAGAAAUGGUGAGUAUUUAACUUUUAUUGCCAUGAAAUGUCCAUGUGAGCUAUAGCACAUUAGUCUUAAUAUAGUGACCGAAAGAUGUUCAGUUCAUCUAAAAGCAUGUUAACAAAUGGCUCGAUCUUAGUGUAGAAUCACCUACAGAAGUAAAAAUGCUAUGUAAAUAACUCUGAUAGCAUGUAGCUCCUCAGUGAGAAAAAAGUAAAACUAGAUCCAAUGGGUGACUGAUGAAACUAGAU